GUUCUUAUAGUUGAAUAACAACGGUGGUUUUUCAAGUCACUGGUUCAGGUUAAAAUCCUGGUAGGAAUU
rnacentral:tRNA from 1 species